GGGGCUGUAGCUCAGCUGGAUAGAGCAGCAACCUUCUAAGUUGUAGGUCGGUGGUUCAAAUCCACUCAGCCCCGCCA
rnacentral:tRNA from 1 species